rnacentral:rRNA from 1 species
GACGAACGCUGGCGGCAUGCCUAAUACAUGCAAGUCGAGCGGACUUGAUGGAGAAGCUUGCUUCUUCUGAAGGUUAGCGGCGGACGGGUGAGUAACACGUAGGCAACCUGCCUUUCAGUUUGGGAUAACUUCCGGAAACGGAUGCUAAUACCGAAUACAUCAUCUUCUGGCAUCAGAGGAUGAGGAAAGACGGCGCAAGCUGUCACUGAGAGAUGGGCCUGCGGCGCAUUAGCUAGUUGGUGGGGUAAUGGCUCACCAAGGCGACGAUGCGUGUGCGACCUGAGAGGGUGAACGGCCACACUGGGACAGAGACACGGCCCAGACUCCUACGGGAGGCAGCAGUAGGGAAUCUUCCACAAUGGGCGACAGCCUGAUGGAGCAAUGCCGCGUGAGUGAUGAAGGUUUUCGGAUCGUAAAGCUCUGUUGCCAGGGAAGAACGUCCAGGUGAGUAACUGCACCUGGAGUGACGGUACCUGAGAAGAAAGCCCCGGCUAACUACGUGCCAGCCGCCGCCGUAACAC